CUGACCCUAGAUGCAUUAUGGAUGUGACUGUUGUGUCACAUGUGCAUCAUCAGUAGCUAGCAGAGAGGAGAGAGGCUACAUCUAUGUUCAGUAUUCUGAUCUAUGAACAUCUGACUGCUCCUGAGAAAACUGU
rnacentral:snoRNA from 1 species